rnacentral:rRNA from 1 species
AACGAUAGCUAAUACCGCAUAGGAACAUUUACUGCAUGGUAGAUGUUUAAAGGUGCAAUGCAUCACUACCAGAUGGCCUGCGUUGUAUUAGCUAGUAGGUGAGGUAACGGCUCACCUAGGCGACGAUACAUAGCCGACCUGAGAGGGUGAUCGGCCACACUGGGACUGAGACACGGCCCAGACUCCUACGGGAGGCAGCAGUAGGGAUCUUCGGCAAUGGGGGGAACCCUGACCGAGCAACGCCGCGUGAGUGAAGAAGGUUUUCGGAUCGUAAAGCUCUGUUGUUAAGGAAGAACGAGUGUGAGAAUGGAAAGUUCAUACUGUGACGGUACUUAACCAGAAAGGGACGG